rnacentral:rRNA from 1 species
GAAAGUAAAAAAGGGCGCAUGGCGGAUGCCUUGGCUCUCGGAGGCGAUGAAGGACGUGAUAAGCUGCGAUAAGCUUUGGGGAGGUGCAAAUGACCUUUGAUCCAGAGAUUUCCGAAUGGGACAACCCAAUAUCUUGAAGAGGUAUUAUCCAACGUUGUUGGAGGCUAACGCAGGGAACUGAAACAUCUUAGUACCUGCAGGAAAAGAAAAUAAACAAUGAUUCCCCCAGUAGUGGCGAGCGAACGGGGAACAGCCCAAACCAUCCAUGUUACGGCAUGGGUGGGGUUGUAGGACUACGCCGUUGCAUGAAGACAUCAGAGAAGAACUUUCUGGAAAGAAAGACCAUAGAGCAUGACAGUUGCGUAUUCGAAUGUUGUCGAAGCAUAGUAGUAUCCUGAGUAGCGCGGAGCACGAGGAAUUCUGCGUGAAUCUGCCGGGACCAUCCGGUAAGGCUAAAUACUCCCGAGAGACCGAUAGCGAACCAGUACCGUGAGGGAAAGGUGAAAAGCACUUCGAACAGAAGAGUGAAAUAGUUCCUGAAACCGUGCGCCUACAAGCGGUCGGAGCUCGUUAAUGAGUGACGGCGUGCCUUUUGCAUAAUGAACCUACGAGUUGCCUUUGCCGGCAAGGUUAAGUGUGACGACACACGUAUCCGAAGCGAAAGCGAGUCUGAAGAGGGCGUAUAGUCGGCAGUGGCAGACGCGAAACCAAGUGAUCUACCCUUGGCCAGGUUGAAGGCUGGGUAACACCAGCUGGAGGACCGCACCAAUAAGCGUUGAAAAGCUUCUGGAUGAGCUGAGGGUAGGGGUGAAAGGCUAAUCAAACUUGGAGAUAGCUCGUACUCCCCGAAAUGCAUUUAGGUGCAGCCUUGCGGGUUACUGAUGUGAGGUAGAGCGACUGAUAAGAUGCGAGGGCUUCACCGCCUAUCAAGUCUUGACAAACUCCGAAUGCGCAUCAGUUCUACCGCAGGAGUGAGGGCAUGGGUGCUAAGGUCCGUGCCCGAGAGGAGAAGAAUCCGGACCACCUGCUAAGGUCCCGAAAUGACAGCUAAGUUAAACUAACGAAGUCUGACUGCUAAGACAGCUAGGAUGUUGGCUUGGAAGCAGCCAUUCAUUUAAAGAGUGCGUAACAGCUCACUAGUCGAGGAGUCGGGCGUGGAUAAUAAUCGGGUAUGAAGUUGUCUACCGAAGCAGUGGGAUCAUUUAUAUGAUCGGUAGGGGAGCAUUCCAGUCAGCGUCGAAGGCGUACCGUGAGGUAUUCUGGAGCGUCUGGAAAAGCAAAUGUAGGUAUAAGUAACGAUAAAGGGGGCGGGAAACCCCCUCGCCGAAAGACUAAGGUUUCCUGAUCAACGCUAAUCGGAUCAGGGUCAGUCGGGUCCUAAGGCUCAGCCGAACGGCGAUGCCGAUGGCAGAAACGGUUAAUAUUCCGUUACUACCUUCAGGAGUGACGUGGAGACGCAGUAGUGACAGUGCCGCCAUCUGACGGAAUAGAUGGUUGAAGGGUGUAGGAGUCGAUCAUGGCAGGCAAAUCCACCAUGAGAUCCGAACCUGACAGUAUGCCGCGUCCUUCGGGACAAGGCAAUAGUGCGCGUAAGCAUGCUGCCGAGAAAAUCCGCUAAACUUAAUCCUGCAGGUACCCGUACCGCAAACGGACACACGUAGUCGGGAUGAAUAUUCUAAGGCGCUUGAGUGAUUCACGGUUAAGGAACUAGGCAAACUGACCCUGUAACUUCGGGAUAAAGGGUCCCUACCCUUUUAUGGGAGGGCGCAGAGAAUCGGUCCAGGCAACUGUUUAACAAAAACACAGGGCUGUGCCAAAUCGAAAGAUCCAGUAUACAGCCUGACACCUGCCCGGUGCUGGAAGGUUAAGAGGAGAUGUCAUCGAUAAGAGAAGCGUUGAAUUGAAGCCCCAGUAAACGGCGGCCGUAACUAUAACGGUCCUAAGGUAGCGAAAUUCCUUGUCGGGUAAGUUCCGACCUGCACGAAUGGUGUAAUGAUCUGGACGCUGUCUCAACCGUGAGCUCAGUGAAAUUGUAGUAUCGGUGAAGAUGCCGAUUACCCGCGAUGGGACGAAAAGACCCCGUGAACCUUUACUAUAGCUUAUCAUUGAAUCUGGGCACGUGAUGUGUAGGAUAGGUCGGAGGCUUUGAAGCAGGUACGCCAGUAUUUGUGGAGCCGCUGUUGAAAUACGACCCUUUAUUUGUUUGGAUUCUAACCCGUGGAUACGGGGACAUUGAUUGGUGGGUAGUUUGACUGGGGUGGUCGCCUCCAAAAGCGUAACGGAGGCUUCUAAAGGUGCCCUCCGGCCGAUUGGUAACCGGCCUUAGAGUGUAAUGGCAUAAGGGCGCUUGACUGGGAGACU